GUCCUCCGCCUCGUACUCGCGCACGGGACCACAAUGCUCCGCGCUGCUUGUCAUUGGGAGGCGCCGAAGGUGGGGGUCGGCUCUGAAAGAAAAGGAGAGAGGCCAAAAAAGGAGAGAGGAUGGGUUGCUGAUGCAGCAUUCUGCUCCCCAUAAGCCAUCCAAGUGGCAGACUGGGCUUACCUUUCCUAUGACAUCUGUUAACAGCUUGAGAGACAGAGGAUCAUGAACCAAAGCAUCUGUGUAAAAGGAACCAAGCAAUCACAGGAAUAUAUAAAACAUCAGAGCAGAAAGAGACCUUUGGAGGAAUCCAGACCAGCAUUCUCAUUUUACGGAUGAGGGAUUGCGGCCUAUGGAGGUUUCCAUGGAUGAUUGGAAAAACCCAAGAGUUGGUGUUCUGUUCCAGACCCCACACAGACACAAACCUACGAGCCAAGGGAGCCAGUAUUUGGCCAUUCGUCCAUCCAUCUGCAUGUCCCAGGGAUGCACGAACAGAGAACACUUCAGCCUUUCAGCUGCCUUCAAAGAAGCAAUGAGAGAGAGAGAGAGAGAGAGGGUUACUUUGAUGAGUGAGCAGAUACCAGGUACUGUUUGGGGAAACUGCUUUUCUUUGAGUCUAUAUUGGUCUGUAAAAAUAAAUUAAAAUGCUUUUGAAGUUGUUUUAUGAUCUAUUUAAAAGAGAUAUUGACAAACUUCUCCUGCUUGGAAAAUAAAAGGGACACUUAGAAUUAACAAAGGGGGUUGGUAGAUUUACCACUGAGGUCGAUGAACUUAAUAUAUCAUCUGGUAAAACAAGUGUCUGGAAAUAUCCAUUAUUCAGAUGUUUUGGCUGACAGCAAAAUGCUCAAGGACUAAUCCCGCACCUGAAAUGUAGGGGAAAAUUUUCCCUACGUU